AGGCAGAGAGAAGGAUAGUCAGAUUGCGUAGCAGGGUUAGGUGGGUUUCCGUGCUAAGUACAGCAAUUGCGCACGGUCCCUUACGUAACUGUCAGCUGGGGAUUCCCUAGAGGGGGUCACUGUAUUCAACCAUUACACAGACCCCUGCCGCCGUUCCAACACGCCUGGGCUGCCGUUGCCGCCGCUACUGAGGCUGCGGCUGCAGCUACAACGGCGGCUCCUCACAAAAUGGCGGCGCCCAUGGACGCGGCAGCAGCCCCAUUUUGUGCCCACAGAGCUGUCAACAAAACACGGACUCGGCCGGGGCAGAGACGCAGAAGUCGGCGGCGAAGCGACGUUAUGGGGAGCGAGGGACUUCACCAGCUUCUCGUCCCCGAGAAGAGACUUUCUCUAAAGCGUGCGCGCACUGGGCGGGGGAGGCGAGCAGCGGACGAAGCGGCGAAUUGAGCGCUGGGACCAGCAGGGAGCGAGAGCUCUGCGGGGACCUUCCGGAGCUGUGGCUCCGUGGUCGGGGCGAUGGUCCUGCCCUGUGCGAUCCGGGAUGCUCGGCAGCAAGGCGCUGCCCCGGUCUCGCCGGCGGGGACAGGGAGGUUCCCCGUGGGGGAUAGGUCUUGGACAGUGGGGAUGGGAGCGGAUUUGCUGUCUCCUCCUGGAGAUCUUGUUCCGGGCUCGCUCCUUGCUCUUAAACCUCUCCCUUCUUGAGCUCGUGGUUGGCAGCCCAGUUUAUGUAACUUUAUUGCUGUAGGAAUCUUGCAAACCUGCAAGGAGCUGCAGGAAGAUCUGGAUUCUUAGUUUAGUUAAUUAGGUCAAUUUCAGCAUUUAAUUACUGUUUGCUUCUUUUUAGUGCGUGCCUUUGGAAUCGGCCUAUUAGGUUGAUGCUUCAGUUUACAUUAGCUAACAGCAAGCUCCCUACCUUACCUCAAAGGCUGCUUGGAGGGGAGUGGGGAAGAGAAGAGCAAAGGGCCCAGAGCUGCAGCUGGGAGUUCCUGGGCUUUCACUCCUCAGUCCUAGUAUCAAUCCAUGAGGAAAAUCUGUACUUUGGAGAUUUUAAAAAUAAUAGAAGAAUCGGUGAGAGAGGUGGCAGUGACCAGAUUAAGGUUGAGCAACACAGGAAACAGAAUGCCACAUAUUUAUUGCAUGCUGUUUCUUGAUAGAUAUAUGCCAAACUACCCCCUUCACCACAGCAUGGGCCGGAAAGGAGGACUUACUCAACAAAAGUACAGGUAGCGUUGGCAUUUAAACUACAGUGCCUGUAUUUCUACCUAUUAAAAGAUAUGUUUUGAAAGAACUAGAUAUCUAUAACUAGACACAAGUGGCUUAAAGUAGAAAUGAAAAAGAGCAAUCCUGUUUAUGUACCUUACUAGCUUACAUACCUGGGUAAUCAUCCUCUUGAGCAUUACAGCAUGUAGCAGUAUCCACUCUCAUAGCAAGAUGUCAGAACAACUAUAAGAUUUUUAAGGGGAAGAGGACUUUGGAAGAACUUCUUCAAGAUAGGUGAGCACAGGAGGGUAACAAUUACCUCAAUGGAAGAGCCAGGUAGAAUUAAGAUGGUAUGUGUUAAUAGUGCUAAAGCACAAGACAGAUUCUACUAGCAGCUGCAGAGACAACAACUGCUGUACAAAAUAUCAUUGCAGGAGGCUUGUUUCUUGAAGGACAUCAGUAUGGGAAUACAGUGGGUGGUCAGUACUCCACUAAUUUACUCUUUAAGAAGUUAUCGUUAGCAACAACAGUAAAUAUAUAAUACAAAUACAGUAGAAUGGGAGGG
ensembl:lncRNA